AUGAGAUCACAGUUGGGGCUGCCAAUAAAAAUAUGGAGAUUUAUAAAGAUAAGGAUGGGAUUUACCAGCAUAAAUAAACCAUAUCUUCUACUUCCGCAACAACUCUUAUACCAGAAGGUGGAAUUUCUAUUGAGAUGCUUUUUUGACAAGAUGUGCUUCAUAGAGAAUCUCGCCAUAACCGGGUUUCAUGACCUACACCUUGAGAUAGUUGAUAAAUGCUAA